CAUAUACUCCCUCCGUCUCAAAAUACUUGUCGGAGAAAUUGAUAAAAAUGGAUGUAUCAAAAACUAAAGUAUGUCUAGAUACAUCCAUUUCUCCGACGAGUAUUUCCGGACGGAGGGAUCUAUCUU
rfam:Triticum aestivum genome assembly, contig: Triticum_aestivum_CS42_TGACv1_scaffold_032191_1BL